UACGUAGGGUGCGAGCGUUAAUCGGAAUUACUGGGCGUAAAGCGUGCGCAGGCGGUUUUGUAAGCCAGAUGUGAAAGCCCCGGGCUUAACCUGGGAAUGGCAUUUGGGACUGCAAGGCUUGAGUGCGGCAGAGGAGACUGGAAUUCCUGGUGUAGCGGUGAAAUGCGCAGAUAUCAGGAGGAACACCGGUGGCGAAGGCGGAUCUCUGGGCCUUACCUGACGCUGAGGCGCGAAAGCUAGGGGAGCGAACAGG
rnacentral:rRNA from 1 species